rnacentral:rRNA from 1 species
GAUAAACGCUGGCGGCGUGCAUGAGACAUGCAAGUCGAACGAAGGAUCGGGCUUGCUCGAUCCUUAGUGGCGGACGGCUGAGUAACGCGUAGGUGACCUACCCCGAAGUGGGGAAUAACUGCCCGAAAGGGUGGCUAAUACCGCAUGUGGUCGCACGUUCAUUCGUGCGAGUAAAGCCGCAAGGCGCUUCGGGAGGGGCCUGCGUCCGAUUAGCUCGUUGGUGGGGUAAUGGCUUACCAAGGCGACGAUCGGUAGGUGGUCUGAGAGGACGAUCACCCAGACUGGGACUGAGACACGGCCCAGACUCCUACGGGAGGCAGCAGUCGGGAAUUUUGCUCAAUGGGGGAAACCCUGAAGCAGCAACGCCGCGUGAGGGAUGAAGGCCUUCGGGUUGUAAACCUCUUUUGUCAGGGACGAUGAUGACGGUACCUGGCGAAUAAGCCACGGCUAACUACGUGCCAGCCGCCGCCGUAA